rnacentral:rRNA from 1 species
CGGCGAGCGAAAAGAAAAUAGUUCAGCACUAAGUCACUUUGUCUUUAUGGCAAAUGUGAGAUGCAGUGUAUGGAAUGUCAAAUUUCUAGUAUGAGAAAUUAACGAUUUAAGUCCUUCUUAAAUGAGGCCAUUUACCCAAAGAGGGUGCCAGGCCCGUAUAACGUUAAUGAUUACUAGAUGGCAUUUCCAAAGAGUCGUGUUGCUUGAUAGUGCAGCACUAAGUGGGUGGUAAACUCCAUCUAAAACUAAAUAUAACCAUGAGACCGAUAGUAAACAAGUACCGUGAGGGAAAGUUGAAAAGAACUCUGAAUAGAGAGUUAAAUAGUACGUGAAACUGCUUAGAGGUUAAGCCCGAUGAACCUGAAUAUCCAUUAUGGAAAAUUCAUCAUUAUGAUUUUAAUAUUUAUAAUAUUAUAAUAAUGGUGUGCAUUUUUUCUAUAAAGGACAUUGUAAUCUAUUAACAUACAUUAAUUUAUCAUAAGAUCAUUUGCGUAAGUUUAUUCAAAUUAUUUUGCUUGCAAUUUAAUAUCGAAUAAAUGCUUUUGAUUUGAUAAAGUGUUGAUAGAUUUAUUAUAUACAGUGCUUAAAUAUUUAUAUUUUAUAAUAGCAUAUUAAUCAAUGAUUUUUAUGUUCAUUAUAUGCACUUGUAUGAUU